rnacentral:sRNA from 1 species
GGAACAAGCUUGAAAUAGCCAAGAGCUAGACACAAAAGCCAGUGCUGCAGUAGCCUAGAGACUGUGGAAGAGAGGAGGCUUGGGGCAUUUACUAAGACGUGGAAAUGUUGGCAUGUGGAUAGACCCUGUACCAAAAACCCAGCAGAAGAUUCAGAGUCCCUGAGAUACCUCCUCCUCAUCUUCUUUGCCAAGCACCUCUUGUCAGUGGUCUUGGAAGUUAGAGGUGGGAAAAGGCACGUGUCCUGGGGAAGUGUCGCUACGUUUACUAUGGGAAAAACUCAGAAGGCAACAGGUUUAUCCGAGAUGACCAGCUCUGAAGCCAAGUUCUGUAUACCUUCACCCAUUUCACGAAAAUAAAAUCAAAAGGGAAGUCAAAAAUAAAGAAAAUGCUAAAGAAAAAACAAUAGCCCACAUUGCCUCUCUUUGGGAAAAGCUAUGACUUCAGCUUUUGGUACCUUCUGCUGACUUUGCCAGGCCUGUCAAGAUGAUCCUUCUGCCUUAGACUGAGUGGUCACAUAGAGAUUGACAUGAUUGCCCUUAAGCAGGUCUCAUCCACCAGGGUGACAGACAGUGGUGGUGAAGCAAUGGGGCUGACAGCAUGAACAC